CCUACGCGUGGCAGCAGUGGGGAAUAUUGCACAAUGGGGGAAACCCUGAUGCAGCGACGCCGCGUGAGUGAAGAAGUCUUUCGGUACGUAAAGCUCUAUCAGCAGGGAAGAAAAUGACGGUACCUGACUAAGAUGCCGCGGCUAACUACGUGCCAGCAGCCGCGGUAAUGUGUAGGGGGCAAGCGUAAUCCGGAUUUACUGGGUUGAAUGGGAGCGUAGACGGCAGCGCAAGUCUGGAGUGAAAUUCCAUGGCUUAACCAUGGAACUGCUUUUGAAACUGUGCAGCUAGAGUGCAGGAGAGGUAAGCGGAAUUCCUGGUGUAGCGGUGAAAUGCGUAGAUAUUAGGAGGAACACCAGUGGCGAAGGCGGCUUACUGGACUGUAACUGACGUUGAGGCUCGAAAGCGUGGGGAGCAAACAGGAUUAGAUACCCGUGUAGUC
rnacentral:rRNA from 1 species